CCGCCCUGGUCGCCGCGGAGGGUCGCCCGGCCGCUGCCGCCGGAGCGGUGAGCCUGGCCGUAACGCAACAGCUUUGGGCUUGCAGACGGCAGGGGAAUAAACUGAGGAGAGGGAAUAAGGCCCUGCGGAGGGACCGGCGGCAGGGGAGCGCUGCAGGGCGCUCGGCGGCAGGCCCCUACUUCGGAUCAACUCAUUAUCCCGAAUAAACGAUGUGUCAUUCCCAUUAUUUAUGUUUCACUGCAGCCAAAGUAUCUGGACCUCGUUUUGCUGUAAAAACAGAAGAAGGGUUCUUGGACUGGAUUUCUGCCACAGUGAUCUCCUUUUUCUUCUGGUUUUGCUUUCUGCCCUUUCCCAUGUUCUUUUUGGCAGAGAAGCAAUCUUUGCACAUUGCAGAACACCUAACCAACAGUGGUAGCUUUAGGUCUGGAUGUGGAGGCUGUGACUAGGGAGGCUG